GAGCUUGCUCUCAAGAAGUUAGCGGCGGACGGGUGAGUAACACGUGGGUAACCUGCCCAUAAGACUGGGAUAACUCCGGGAAACCGGGGCUAAUACCGGAUAACAUUUUGAACUGCAUGGUUCGAAAUUGAAAGGCGGCUUCGGCUGUCACUUAUGGAUGGACCCGCGUCGCAUUAGCUAGUUGGUGAGGUAACGGCUCACCAAGGCAACGAUGCGUAGCCGACCUGAGAGGGUGAUCGGCCACACUGGGACUGAGACACGGCCCAGACUCCUACGGGAGGCAGCAGUAGGGAAUCUUCCGCAAUGGACGAAAGUCUGACGGAGCAACGCCGCGUGAGUGAUGAAGGCUUUCGGGUCGUAAAACUCUGUUGUUAGGGAAGAACAAGUGCUAGUUGAAUAAGCUGGCACCUUGACGGUACCUAACCAGAAAGCCACGGCUAACUACGUGCCAGCAGCCGCGGUAAUACGUAGGUGGCAAGCGUUAUCCGGAAUUAUUGGGCGUAAAGCGCGCGCAGGUGGUUUCUUAAGUCUGAUGUGAAAGCCCACGGCUCAACCGUGGAGGGUCAUUGGAAACUGGGAGACUUGAGUGCAGAAGAGGAAAGU
rnacentral:rRNA from 1 species